rnacentral:rRNA from 1 species
GACGUAGGGCGCGAGCGUUGUCCGGAUUUAUUGGGCGUAAAGAGCUCGUAGGCGGCUUGUCGCGUCGACUGUGAAAUCCCGCGGCUCAACCGCGGGUCUGCAGUCGAUACGGGCAGGCUAGAGUUCGGUAGGGGGAGACUGGAAUUCCUGGUGUAGCGGUGAAAUGCGCAGAUAUCAGGAGGAACACCGAUGGCGAAGGCAGGUCUCUGGGCCGAUACUGACGCUGAGGAGCGAAAGCGUGGGGGAGCGAACAGG